UACGUAGGGUGCAAGCGUUGUCCGGAAUUAUUGGGCGUAAAGAGCUCGUAGGCGGUCUGUCGCGUCGGAUGUGAAAAUCCAGGGCUCAACCCUGGACCUGCAUUCGAUACGGGCAGACUAGAGUUCGGCAGGGGAGACUGGAAUUCCUGGUGUAGCGGUGAAAUGCGCAGAUAUCAGGAGGAACACCGGUGGCGAAGGCGGCCAUCUGGCUCGGUACUGACGCUCAGGUUCGAAAGCGUGGGGAGCAAACAGG
rnacentral:rRNA from 1 species